GUCUCCUCCCCUAAGCUACUUUCAGUCAGGGUUUCAUCAGAGCAAUGGAAAGGAAACAGAACGCCCUGACCACCACCUCUCUGCUGCCCCUUCCCUGUCAAUACUCCCAGGUACAAACCUUUGCCUGAACAUGUCUUUUCAUUUUCCUUGCAUAUACCCAGAGUGGAAUUGUGGAAUCCUAUAGUAAGGCUGUUUCUAUGGUUUAGCCAUUUAAGGAACUACUGGUCUCUUCUCCAAAGUGGUUGCACAACAAUGAAUGAAGACUCCUAUGUCUGCUUAUCCUCGGCAACACUUGGUCCUUCCUAACCGUUCACCGUAGACUCUCCAGAGCUCUCCCCCCCCAUUAGACGACUUGGACCACUAGAUGCUGAGACCAUCAUCGACAAAGACAUCAGCCGACCAGCCUCUUC